CACUGCCGAGAAAAGCCUCUAGAUAGAAAAUAGGUGCCCGUACCGCAAACCGACACAGGUAGUCAAGAUGAGAAUUCUAAGGUGAGCGAGCGAACUCUCGUUAAGGAACUCGGCAAAAUGACCCCGUAACUUCGGGAGAAGGGGUGCUCUUUAGGGUUAACGCCCAGAAGAGCCGCAGUGAAUAGGCCCAAGCGACUGUUUAUCAAAAACACAGGUCUCUGCUAAACCGUAAGGUGAUGUAUAGGGGCUGACGCCUGCCCGGUGCUGGAAGGUUAAGAGGAGUGGUUAGCUUCUGCGAAGCUACGAAUCGAAGCCCCAGUAAACGGCGGCCGUAACUAUAACGGUCCUAAGGUAGCGAAAUUCCUUGUCGGGUAAGUUCCGACCCGCACGAAAGGCGUAACGAUUUGGGCACUGUCUCAACGAGAGACUCGGUGAAAUCAUAGUACCUGUGAAGAUGCAGGUUACCCGCGACAGGACGGAAAGACCCCGUGGAGCUUUACUGUAGCCUGAUAUUGAAAUUCGGCACAGCUUGUACAGGAUAGGUAGGAGCCUUUGAAACGUGAGCGCUAGCUUACGUGGAGGCGCUGGUGGGAUACUACCCUAGCUGUGUUGGCUUUCUAACCCGCACCACUUAUCGUGGUGGGAGACAGUGUCAGGCGGGCAGUUUGACUGGGGCGGUCGCCUCCUAAAAGGUAACGGAGGCGCUCAAAGGUUCCCUCAGAAUGGUUGGAAAUCAUUCAUAGAGUGUAAAGGCAUAAGGGAGCUUGACUGCGAGACCUACAAGUCGAGCAGGGUCGAAAGACGGACUUAGUGAUCCGGUGGUUCCGCAUGGAAGGGCCAUCGCUCAACGGAUAAAAGCUACCCCGGGGAUAACAGGCUUAUCUCCCCCAAGAGUUCACAUCGACGGGGAGGUUUGGCACCUCGAUGUCGGCUC
rnacentral:rRNA from 1 species